CGAGCGAACAGACGAGGAGCUUGCUCCUCUGACGUUAGCGGCGGACGGGUGAGUAACACGUGGAUAACCUACCUAUAAGACUGGGAUAACUUCGGGAAACCGGAGCUAAUACCGGAUAAUAUAUUGAACCGCAUGGUUCAAUAGUGAAAGACGGUUUUGCUGUCACUUAUAGAUGGAUCCGCGCCGCAUUAGCUAGUUGGUAAGGUAACGGCUUACCAAGGCAACGAUGCGUAGCCGACCCGAGAGGGUGAUCGGCCACACUGGAACUGAGACACGGUCCAGACUCCUACGGGAGGCAGCAGUAGGGAAUCUUCCGCAAUGGGCGAAAGCCUGACGGAGCAACGCCGCGUGAGUGAUGAAGGUCUUCGGAUCGUAAAACUCUGUUAUUAGGGAAGAACAAAUGUGUAAGUAACUAUGCACGUCUUGACGGUACCUAAUCAGAAAGCCACGGCUAACUACGUGCCAGCAGCCGCGGUAAUACGUAGGUGGCAAGCGUUAUCCGGAAUUAUUGGGCGUAAAGCGCGCGUAGGCGGUUUUUUAAGUCUGAUGUGAAAGCCCACGGCUCAACCGUGGAGGGUCAUUGGAAACUGGAAAACUUGAGUGCAGAAGAGGAAAGUGGAAUUCCAUGUGUAGCGGUGAAAUGCGCAGAGAUAUGGAGGAACACCAGUGGCGAAGGCGACUUUC
rnacentral:rRNA from 1 species